GUCCCUGUAAUGCAAUGGAUAGCCUGUUAGACUUCUAAUCCAAAGGUCGUGGGUUCAAAUUCCACCUGGGAUA